GUCGACCGGCGCACGGGUGAGUAACGCGUAUCCAACCUGCCCACCACUUGGGGAUAACCUUGCGAAAGUAAGACUAAUACCCAAUGAUAUCUCUAGAAGACAUCUGAAAGAGAUUAAAGAUUUAUCGGUGAUGGAUGGGGAUGCGUCUGAUUAGCUUGUUGGCGGGGUAACGGCCCACCAAGGCGACGAUCAGUAGGGGUUCUGAGAGGAAGGUCCCCCACAUUGGAACUGAGACACGGUCCAAACUCCUACGGGAGGCAGCAGUGAGGAAUAUUGGUCAAUGGGCGAGAGCCUGAACCAGCCAAGUAGCGUGCAGGAUGACGGCCCUAUGGGUUGUAAACUGCUUUUAUAAGGGAAUAAAGUGAGUCUCGUGAGGCUUUUUGCAUGUACCUUAUGAAUAAGGACCGGCUAAUUCCGUGCCAGCAGCCGCGGUAAUACGGAAGGUCCGGGCGUUAUCCGGAUUUAUUGGGUUUAAAGGGAGCGUAGGCCGGAGAUUAAGCGUGUUGUGAAAUGUAGGCGCUCAACGUCUGCACUGCAGCGCGAACUGGUUUCCUUGAGUACGCACAAAGUGGGCGGAAUUCGUGGUGUAGCGGUGAAAUGCUUAGAUAUCACGAAGAACUCCGAUUGCGAAGGCAGCUCACUGGAGCGCAACUGACGCUGAAGCUCGAAAGUGCGGGUAUCGAACAGGAUUAGAUACCCUGGUAGUCCGCACGGUAAACGAUGGAUGCCCGCUGUUGGUCUGAAUAGGUCAGCGGCCAAGCGAAAGCAUUAAGCAUCCCACCUGGGGAGUAC
rnacentral:rRNA from 1 species